rnacentral:rRNA from 1 species
GAUGAACGCUGGCGGCGUGCCUAAUACAUGCAAGUCGAGCGAACAGAUAAGGAGCUUGCUCCUUUGACGUUAGCGGCGGACGGGUGAGUAACACGUGGGUAACCUACCUAUAAGACUGGAAUAACUCCGGGAAACCGGGGCUAAUGCCGGAUAACAUUUAGAACCGCAUGGUUCUAAAGUGAAAGAUGGUUUUGCUAUCACUUAUAGAUGGACCCGCGCCGUAUUAGCUAGUUGGUAAGGUAACGGCUUACCAAGGCAACGAUACGUAGCCGACCUGAGAGGGUGAUCGGCCACACUGGAACUGAGACACGGUCCAGACUCCUACGGGAGGCAGCAGUAGGGAAUCUUCCGCAAUGGGCGAAAGCCUGACGGAGCAACGCCGCGUGAGUGAUGAAGGUCUUCGGAUCGUAAAACUCUGUUAUUAGGGAAGAACAAAUGUGUAAGUAACUGUGCACGUCUUGACGGUACCUAAUCAGAAAGCCCCGGCUAACUACGUG